AACUCCACAGUGUAGAUGCCCUAAAGUGCCACAGAACUCAUUUUUUAAAAUAGAUAUGACUUGAGUCUAACAUCUUAAGCUUCUGUAAGACUAGAAAUAACUUUUAUGUAAUUGAAAAAUGUGAUUUUUUUUUUUCAGAUUCCCACUGGGGCACAGCUUUCACUUCUAAUCCAGGAAGGUCCCAAAACACCAUAUAGGAAAACUGUGACCUUAUACAUAGAAAAAUUAUUUUUAAUGGCUUCCUCUCAGAAGUAGGCUGUGCCCACGAAAGCUCGUAAUACCAUUUACAUGUUUUGUUAGUUUUUAUCUUUAUAUGCAGUAGCCUUCUAUAACUUUAGAAUUUUCUUUCCUUACUUUAACAUCUCAUUUGAGUUUGUCGUCUAGAGUGUGGACAUAACCUGAUAGUAUAUUUUGUCCCUGAAGUCCUUCUGUCUUGAGGAACCAAAAAAGGAUAAAGUAGAACUGCAUUUUCAAAGAGUCAACUAACUGUUCAGACUUCAACAGGGAAGAAAGGCGGACCUUUGAGGAGACUUCUAAAGGGGAGAAUGAAGGACUUUUGAAGUCAUGAAACUCUCCAUGUGGGCUUUAUAUAUACAGAAACUUACACCAAUAUAACUACGUUGGUUUUAAUUUAUACCCGUCAUCAUUUCUGAGCAAGUCUCUGUGAACAUUCUGAUUUUGGGUACUGUGUCACCAGGCAUCGGAGCAUCAAAUUAAAACUUGUCUCACUUAUAGAAACUGCAAGGCAUGGACUGAAUGAGGCUGAGGACUACAGAAAGAAUAGCAUGGUCUCAUGGUUAAAGCAGGUUUGCACCAGAGCCAAAUCCACCACAAGCCAGCAGAAGAUGUGAUGAGCAGCUAGCAGGGUGGCAAUGGAGAGGCGUGAUGAACAGCCAGCAAAGCAGCGGCAGCAAGGGAUGACGAAUGGCCAACAGAAUGGCGCAAGAAAGCAGCGAGCAGGUGGAUGGUGAGUGAUCAGCAGGGUUCCCAAAAAGAGGACACUGCUGGAGGGCAGACGCCUGGAUGUGUAAGAGCAAGGACCUGCACUGGACCAGUCAGAUGAGAACCAAUUAGGAACCAGAUCAGUUGUUCCUCUUUCUAUCUACUCCACACAAAAAAACACUGAACAUUAUCUCUUAUUGGAAAAAUCCUCCGGGACAGAGGGCAGAGGAUCAAAAAAGAGACAAUGUCUGGAUAUCCUGAUGUUUUCCAUACAACAACAACCUUUUCUGCAUUUUUGAUUAUGGAGAGACACUAGCAAUUUCUGACCUUGUCUGAGUAGGGCACGCAACAUGCAAUGCAGGGAGGAGAGAACUUCUUGUCCUACAACCUCUGCGCACUUGUGCAAGAGCCAAAGGGGAGAAAAGCAGCCCAGGAAGAGACAGAAGUGCAGGAGGAAUGGGAGGAUUCUGGAGUGGUUACCGACAGACAUAUAUUCCACAAAACAACCCUGAAUGGCCUUCCAGGAAUUCUGUUCUUUGCCUUCCCAAGCAGCAGGAGCAGAGUUUUACAGCUGGGAUCCCUAUGAAGCCUCUUCCUUCACUGAGGAGCAACUCCUAAUCCCACUGAAAUCAGUGGACAUAAGAUUAGGAGCCAGACACUAAUUCACAAAUGAAAACACUGAGGAAGGAUUUCACAGGAAGUUUUAAAACUGAGGAAGCUUUUACCAUCAGCUUUGAUCUUAUUUCACAAGCUUAACAGCGAUGGACCUGAUCCAUUUUUGGAAGGAAAACAGAGUCUGCAGUAAGGUGGGCUGUGAUUUAGGAUGCCAGUCCUGCAAGUGAGCAGAGUUACUCACAAAACGGGGGCCUUUGUAAGCUGAGUCACCACUGAAUCAAUGCCUAGCCUGUUGCUGCUACCGCUAUUUAUUUAUUUAUGUAUUUAUUUAUUUAUAUGACAGUAGCUCCUCAGGACCCCAAUCAAGAUAAAGGCCCCCAGGCUCUGUACUAUUACAUUGAGAGACAUUGCCCCCCAAAAGUUUACGAAGUUAGCAGCUUUGGGGAUCACCAGGGGGAAGGGGUCCUGGCAUGGCAUGGUAGCGGGGGUUGUGCCCCACCCCUGCAUUCCAAUGGUAGCGGGAGCCAUGGGGAAGUUGGGUACACUGGGUGAGCGUAGGGGCAUGACUAGUGCCACAAUGCAGAGCCAGGCUCCUCCCUACCAGUGACCCCCAAAAUUCGCAUCCUCAAGGAUGGGUGCUGUGAGGCAGGGAGAGAGUGGUAAGGGGUGGGAUUUGGAGGCCAGUAAUGGACAACUCCCCACCCGUACCCAGUUUUGCCAGGAAUCCUGAGCUGGAUUGCAUAAUCAUUCUGGCUAGAGUCUGGCCCAUGGGCCAAGUGUUUCAGAUCUCUGGUCUAAAUAGACAAGAGAGGUGGGAUAUAGAAGUGAAGUGACUUGCCCAAGAUCAUGUAGCCAGCAUUAGAAUCCAAGUCUCCUGAAUCCCAGUCAGUACUUUGUCCACCAGAACACACGGCCUCCACGCUUAAUUAUGACUCACUCAUAGUGCACAAAGCAGUAAAUUAGCAAAGAACACUAUGAGGCCCAGUGAAUUCAAAUCACUUGUCAAAAGUCACCCUUCCAGCUGUGUGCUGACUCCAAAAAAAGAACAAUUAACCAUGUAUAAGAGAGAUCAGUGAUACUGGAUAAACUUAAAAAACAACAAAA